rnacentral:rRNA from 1 species
UACAGAGGGUGCAAGCGUUAAUCGGAAUUAUUGGGCGUAAAGAGCUCGUAGGCGGUUCGUCGCGUCGGCUGUGAAAUCCCGAGGCUCAACCUCGGGUCUGCAGUCGAUACGGGCGGACUGGAGUUCGGCAGGGGAGACUGGAAUUCCUGGUGUAGCGGUGAAAUGCGCAGAUAUCAGGAAGAACACCCGUGGCGAAGGCGGCUCUCUGGGACGGUACUGACGCUGAGACGCGAAAGCGUGGGGAGCGAACAGG